rnacentral:sRNA from 1 species
UUCGUGAAGUUAUCAUA